UACGGGGGGGGCAAGCGUUGUUCGGAAUUACUGGGCGUAAAGGGUUCGUAGGUGGCUUGUUAAGUCAGACGUGAAAUCCCUCGGCUCAACCGGGGAACUGCGUCUGAGACUGAUGAGCUCGAGUGCAGGAGAGGAACGCGGAAUUCCAGGUGUAGCGGUGAAAUGCGUAGAUAUCGAGAGGAACACCUGCGGCGAAGGCGGGUUGCUGGGCUGACACUGACGCUGAUGCGCGAAAGCUAGGGGAGCGAACGGG
rnacentral:rRNA from 1 species